GUCCAUCCUUUUCUCAGGCCCAGUAAAAUGGUGUGUGGGUUUAACAGCCGAAGAGCAUUUUUUUUAUUGCUGGUCCCUCUCUGCGCUCUGAAGUCAUACUGCGUUCACUCUACUGAGCUAAUAAAAAAAGAAACAACUCCUACUGAAUGUGGCCACAGUUAUGUGGGUGACAAAGAAUUGCUGAAUCCUGGAGAUACGUACUUCCUGUAGAAUCAGAACUGGUCAAUACACUAGCAUGUGAGUCUGAUUCUGGCAUGAAUCACAGCUCUUUGCCACCCAGCUCUUCCCUGAUGUCUGCAUGGCUCGCAGUCAACCAGAGCAUGCUAUAAAGAGCAAAGGCAUUGAUCCAAGGAAGCAGUCAGGUACACGUGUGAUGCUUUCUCCACGGAGCUCUCAAAAUCUAAUCAGAAAAGCCUUUUUGGAACAUUCUUCCCAGAAUCUUAAACAAUCUGGAGGAGACAAAUAUUUAAUCAGAAUGUGCAGACAGAGCUACGUCCCUGAUUGUGUAUUUCUUGCACCCAAGAAAUGUCUCUGGAAAGGAGUUAGUACUUUCCUUGAGGUCUGGUAGCAGUCAGAGAUGUACCCUAGAACAGUAACAAACCUCCUGUGCUUUCUUUGUGCCCAUUUAACCCACUAUGGAUAAAUCCUAUUGAUGACCGGCAUUACUUAUGGUUAUAAUUAAAGAUAUGCACUAAGGUAAUUUUAUACUACAAUGUUAGAAAAACUCUACUUAGAUACCUCUACAAGCAAAUUUAAUGUAGUCCUCUACUGUUCUGGAUGCUCCAAAAAUGAGAUUAUCUCCCAGAACUUCAUAGGCAUCCUGGUUCAGGUACCUGCCAUAUGAUUAGUUGUGUGGACUCGGCCACAAGUGUUACAUGAGAAAGUAAUUAAUCACAGAUUCCAUGUAGCCUGUAUGUAAAGAGCCCCACCAGCUAUACCAGAUCCAGGCAGAUGUGGUGUGGUGAAAGAAGUUUAGCUUCCUGUAGUAGUGAUGUAGCUGAGCAAAGAAUUAACAUAGCCUACGAAAUACAAUGCCCCUUGCUUUUUAAGUUGGGUUAUGUGGCCUAUUAAGGAAAGAAGAAUGAGUGAAUUGAGAGUCCAGGGACAUGGAGAGUCUGGAGAUGGCAAUAUCAGCUUGAAGAUAAUUAUAAAUUUGAACAGGUCAGAAUCCCACUUAUUGCUGUCUCAGUGCAUUUUUUAUUUUUAUUUUUUUUUCCCUUUAAUUUCCUCCCUCGGGGCUGGCUGCCAUUACUGCUUAAAUCAGUAGAGAGAUUCCCACUGAAUUUCAGGGGUAACUGGAUUAGUUACUAGGUUGUUGUACUGGAAAGGCAUGCAAUUACAAAAGCCAUGUUGUUCUGAGCUGGAGCCAAGGAUGACCAAUUAUGAUUGCCCAAGUGCAGCUGUGUAACCCUGACCUGCCAACACGAAGGUAGUUUGUUCCAUUUUAGAUGCAAGUAAAACCUGGCCUGGCCAGAAGCUGCAGUUUGGCAACUUAGACCUACCGGGGCUCUGCCCAGGCACAGGGAGCUGCAAUAAGGAAUUUCUUUUAAGAGUCAGAGCUGUAAUUUCCAAAUGGUAGGGUUUGAUCUGCAGAAGUUAUCUCAGGAUAAGAACUUCACUGCAGCUGGAGAGACUUCAGACAGGUGUGUGGUUUCCCAGGAGGAGUCUUCAGCUGGAAAACAAUUCUCAGCUGCUUUGCACUGAAUGGGAAGUAUAGAAAAGGUGGAUUUAUUAAUGGUUCUUGCAUAGUGUUUAUUUCUUUAUUUGAAUGCUAUCAUUUUAAAAGUACUUUUCUGAAGUAAUUAUCUACUUCCUACAAAUCUUAUUGAUAUGAAGGGAUGCCCCUACACUAUUUAACUACAACUGUAAGUCUUAGACUUCCAAACAGUAAGGUACGCACAUGCCCUUACAGAACAGUUUGGGUUGGAAGGGACCUUUAAAGAUCAUCUAGUCCAACCC